GAUGAACGCUGGCGGCGUGCCUAAUACAUGCAAGUCGAGCGAAUGGAUUAAGAGCUUGCUCUUAUGAAGUUAGCGGCGGACGGGUGAGUAACACGUGGGUAACCUGCCCAUAAGACUGGGAUAACUCCGGGAAACCGGGGCUAAUACCGGAUAACAUUUUGAACCGCAUGGUUCGAAAUUGAAAGGCGGCUUCGGCUGUCACUUAUGGAUGGACCCGCGUCGCAUUAGCUAGUUGGUGAGGUAACGGCUCCCCAAGGGAACGAUGCGUAGCCGAACUGAGAGGGUGAUCGGCCACACUAGGACUGAGACACGGCCCAGACUCCUACGGGAGGCAGCAGUAGGGAAUCUUCCGCAAUGGACGAAAGUCUGACGGAGCAACGCCGCGUGAGUGAUGAAGGCUUUCGGGUCGUAAAACUCUGUUGUUAGGGAAGAACAAGUGCUAGUUGAAUAAGCCGGCACCUUGACGGUACCUAACCAGAAAGCCACGGCUAACUACGUGCCAGCCGCCGCGGUAA
rnacentral:rRNA from 1 species